GUUAUGUUGGCAUAAAAAUUCGGUUACACAGAAUUUAAAUUAGUGGUGCCGUACUAGAUGGUGCCUCUAUAAUAAACUUGUCGCUAUGUUACUAGUAUAAUUUUUAAUUAAGUAGUUUGAUAUAGAUCUUCACUUGAUUUUUUUCCUUUUUUUUUUUUUUUUUUUAAUGGGAGCUUGAAACUAAAGUCUGGAUGAAGUUCAGACCGUAGUGGUGUCUUACUGUAACCCUGUAGUUCUGGGACUGUCUCAAAUUGCACUUAUGCAUCCAUGUUACACAACUUUUUGUAAAGACUUUUUUCCAUAAAAAUCACCUAGCACUGUCUCGCAAUAUAUUAAAUGUAGGUAUGCAGAAUAAGUACACUGUUGGUGUCUUGUACAGACAGAUAUUAUUGGCUGGCUAUGUGAUUAGAAAUGUAAAUUGUACAGUACUUGAGCAAGUGGCAGGAUAACAGAAAUAGUGACGCAUGCUAUCCUCAGAAUAGCUUUUUGUGAGAAACAGCAGAAUGCUAUCAGCUUAAGUCUUCUUGGAAAUAAUUCACUGAAAAACUAGCAGAUAAAUUCUGUGGAACAAUACUAUACUGAUAGAUUGGUAUUUAUCAGAUUGGAGGAAGUAUCUGAAUACUCUAGUCAUGGCCCUGGGCAUCGUUCUUAGCUCCUAUGCAAACAACUAUGUUCCAGGUUGUUCAUUGACUCCAACACCCAGGUGAAAGGAUGACAUAGACACUGAAGUGGGAUGAAAUGACAGCCUGCAGCUGAAGCAGUAGUAAAUGCAGUGCUCAGGUACACCACCCUGGCAGUAUUCCUUGGGUUGCUGAUAGCAAUCUGCCUCUUGCUCACAUUCUCAUUUGAGCUGAGCAGCUUCUGUAGAAGUGCUCUCCUUCACCUUACCUUUUAGUAUGUUACUGCUUUAUCUCACCACAAGGAUAAGUAAUGUGCCUUCGAAUCAAGACAGAGCAGCAAGCUGGUCCAUUGUACUCUCUGAGAAGAGCCACUACCUGUAGUAUUUUGAAUAAUUUAAUGAAUUUAGAACUAUGUGUGAUAGUCAGGGCAAGUGUGUGAGUAUCCUUUUAUUUAUCCAGAGCCAAAUGUUAACCUUAUCUCUGUUUGCAUUACCUAUUACGUUGUACAAUAUAGUCUCUGAAGAGUAUUUCUAUGCUGAUAAAUACAUAAUUUCCUACUGCAAACCUGAGGUGACAGGAAAUUGUAAAAAUUUAGUAUUACAAGAAUUUCAUGUCUGACGCUGUCUCCUGUAAUGGUAUUGUAGCUCAUGACAUUGUUAUGCAGUGUUUCACUCAACAAGCUAUUCUAUAAGGCUGUUUUUGUGGUGAAUAUUGAUGUCUAUAGCAGUUUGUUGGUAUUACAUGUUUUAGUUUUGGUUAUCCUGUAGUAAAACUUUAAGAUUCUUGGCAUUACGCUUAGGAUGGAGUAGUCAGAGUGCUAGGCAAGAUGGUGCAUGAUCUUGUUUCCUCUUCUAGUUUACCAGAGAAUCCUUUGAACUUAUACUGUAAAAUCGCUUUUAACUAGAGCCAUGAAAAAAAUUAUUCAGGAAUAUGAACUACUUUGAGAACAAGGUGUGAAAAAGUAUUAUGUAGCUCUUGAUAUUUUACUUAUGUUUUAUGGUGCCAAUGCAAAUAUAAGCUAUGAGUGCAGCUUCUGACCUGGACCAGAGUUAAGAAUGCUAAACAACUGACAGCUUUAUUUUUUCCUUUUUUAAUAGAAUAAGGCCAGAUUUUUGGUGUUUUUUUUUCACCUCUUGGGCUAAUAUGAAUGACCUAAAAAGACUGUUGCAACUACUGCAUUCUUCUAGGUAGCUUUAUAUUGAUGUUCUAAGAAAGACUUUCUGCUCAUACGCAAGUACUAAAAUUGUUUCGUCCACUAAAAAGAACAUUAGAGGGCAUAAAAAGCAACUUUGAUUUUAUUUUUUUCCUUAGAUUUUAUACGUCAGCAGACCUUGUAAAUCUUUGUUUUGCUCCGUUCCACUGCAGGCAAAUGGAUUUCACAUAACUUUGAAACAGAAGCUUAAAAAUUACGUAUCUUACUUUGUAUGCCCUCUUUUCAAGAAGCUGCUGUAGAAAAUAUAAAGUAGUUGAGGGACAUGUUUGGUUACAUUAUACAGAAACUGUGGCUAUUUACUUGAAUUGUUUUUGUCUUUACCUUGGAUUUUAUGACGGUUUUGGUAGUAUACAUGUAUGCCAUCACAGAUAAUGGAUUCAUAUGUAAUUCAGUGUAUUCAUGACUUCUGUUGUGAAUUUUUGUUUUCUUAGUAAACUAAUAAAAACACUCAUGAUUUUGCCAUUUAA